rnacentral:rRNA from 1 species
UACGUAGGGUGCAAGCGUUGUCCGGAAUUAUUGGGCGUAAAGGCUCGUAGCGGUUUGUUGCGUCGGCUGUGAAAUCCCGAGGCUCAACCUCGGGUCUGCAGUCGAUACGAGCAAACUAGAGUGUUGCAGGGGAGACUGGAAUUCCUGGUGUAGCGGUGAAAUGCGCAGAUAGUCAGGAGGAACACCGGUGGCGAAGGCGGGUCUCUGGGCAACAACGUGACGC